rnacentral:lncRNA from 1 species
GUUGCCAUUACCAAAAGUUUCAACAAAUUCUGAUUCUCAACACUUAACAACGAGAAUUGUUAGAAUCGUAGCAAUGUAAAAUUUUGCGGUUCUAAAAGAGUACGGUGCAAUCUCCGCCAAGAAUAUUAUGCAGAGUUUUCCCUACUCCAGGUAUGUUAAAGCUAUCCCUUCUUUCUUUUUGACAUGAUCCAUAUGAUACAAAUGAAACUAGCAAAUGCUCAACUUCCAUAAAUGACUAUAUUCAUAGAAAUGCUAGAGAUGUUUAUGCUCUUGAUUCCCAUAUGUUUUAUUAUUCUAUCGUAUGUUCAUGCGUUUAAGAGAAUAUGUAACUUGAUAAAGUUUACUUCAUGAUAUUAAUCAAAAGCAUAAUGGUCUAAUAACAUUUCGAGAGAUUUUAUUGAUGUACUUCUUGUAGACAUGUGAUUUUUGACCCUCCCCAAGAUCUUUCAUAUAUUAGAGUAAAAUAUUUAAUUUAGGUAUAAUAUAGAUAUUUUAAGUAAUUUUGACUCUUUUACUUUAUUUUAGUACAAGAAAAACAAAAAUUACAACAAAAAAUAUAUAUAAUAUAUAUAUAAUAAUAUAAUAAUAAGUUCAUUAAUAUUUGUAGUCAUUUUUAAUUCAAAAGAAAUAUAUAAAAAUAGUAUCGUGUUUUUAUUUUUAAUAUAAUGUUUGAAAAUACAAAAAAAGAUAGAUUUGUUUUAAGGGUUAGUCUUAUUUUAAUAAUUAUUUUAAUAGUAGGACUAAUAAAUAAAUGGGCGCGUAUUUUUAAUCUCAUUCGCGGCAAAAGAAUAGAGCUUGGGCUCGAGCAACCCAGCUUUAGGCCUAAUUUUGGACCUAGCCCACAAUUGUCAAGCCCAUAACUCCUAGGCCCACACCCCUUAACCUAAAAACCCUACCCAAAAAACCCUAGACUCUACACUAUAAAACAAGACUAAGGAUUAAAAGAAUGAGGAGAGAGGAACGAGCUGGGGAAAGAGGGAGCUGGGGGAAAGGCACGUAGUAAGACUGCGUAUGAACAAAAAGAAAGGAGGAGGAAGCUAAACGCAGAAGAUCUGCGUGAAAACAAACAACCCCACCCCCCGCACAUCAUCUUCCCCGUCGCACCCCACCUCUAAACGCCGACCAAGCCCACCCUAAACAACACCCCUUCACGUCGUCAUCUUCUUCGACGGACGUCGAGAACCAGCCAUCACCUCAUUUCCAUCUUCAUCCUCACCCCUCUCCCCAACGAACUGAAACCACCACCAUAGCAGCCCAUUUCCCCGUCGACGCACCUAACCAUACACACAUACAGCGACAGUGGGAGAUCAGGAGUAAGAGGAGGUGGCGAGUGACAUUCUAAAAAUCAAUGGAAUAGUAGCCUCGAUUUAGGUUUGUUCAAGCUGUCCGUUUGUGAAUCUGAGGUUGCGAUGCGAAGUCCGUCGUUGAACUUUGUCGCGUUUCCGGCGAGUUUCGAAGUCUGAAUCGUGGUUCUGAUUCGAGGUUGCGAUUCCGGUUCAAGUUAAAAUUUCGUCAUUUGGCACUCCAUUAGGACUGUGUAAUUGCUGAAAAUUUUAGUUGAAUGAAGCUUAAAUUUCAGAUUCUCUAAAUUGUCGAUUUUUAUGCUCGGCUGGUCGAUUGUUAGUUUUUGGUUUGUCUAUGCUUCGUUGCCAUUAAUAUCGAUUAGCGACGUAUUAAUUGAUGACUGAAUGAGUUUGAGCUUUCUGUCGAGCUUUUAGUUCGUCGAUGGUCGUCGUCUAAGGAGACUCCGUUUCAGUCCUGCGUUGAGGUGCCGUUUGGUUGGUUUCCGGUUUGAAUUUCGUCACCAGUUCAAAGUCUCAAUCAGUGGCUCGUUUCUAUGUUGCUGUUUUGCUUUGGUGUUCGUUUCUCUGUUCGCAGCACAAAAGCUCAGAUCCAAUAAUAAAAGGUCCAUUUUUUCCUCCUGUUUAAACACGUAUUACAUUUUCUUUCUUGGUAGGUUUUUCUUCUAAAUGUUCUACGUAUUUCCUUUUUAUCUCAUUGUCUUAUUUUGAUUAAUUUAUUUUAUUUGCUUUAGUUUAAUGAUUUAAUUAGAUGAACAUUAAUUGCUUAUUCUACUACUGAAUAUCUAAUGGUUGAGAGAUAAGAAUAUUUAUUUAAAUUACAAUAUAUGUGGUCAGCAAUUGGGUCCUACUGGG